rnacentral:lncRNA from 1 species
UGGAAUGUGGGGAAUGACAAUACAUUUAGGAUCAUAUUCUAUAAGCUAUGAAGGUCUAUUUGAGCCCCAAAUAAAAUAUAUUUGUCCUCCUCCUCCUCCUCUUCCUCUUCCUCCUCCUCCUUUUGCCUAAAGGCAAUUGUAUAAGAGGAGAGUCUUUCCUUGAGACAUGUCCCCAGUCCUUACCUACUACUGAUCAUGUAACUACUCCUCCUUCAGGGAAGGAAGGCCUACCAUCUAGAACUCUCAGUUGAUGUUUUCAUUACUACAUCCACAUUCUACCUCAGCCAUCACUGUUGUCAUCAAAAUUUCCGAACCUUUUAUGAAACAAGAAGACAUCCGUAUCAACUCUACAGGGACUAUAAGCACUUAAAGUCAAAUAGAGAACCAGUUUAUACAAUUAAAAGAAAUGAAAACAAACAGUAGAAAGAUAUAAAUUGGGGAAAGCUACCCAAGAAUAAUUACCAUAAAAGAAUCUAAAAUAUGAAUGGUUAUAUAACAAGUGAAGGAAUGGAAGCAAUAGUCAAAAACCUCGCCAGCAAGUGAACCUCAGGCUCAGGGUGCUUCAACAGUCAACUCAUUUCAGUAUUUAAAGAAAACUAUACCAAUCAUUUGCAAAUGAAUGUUAAAAAGAAAGAAGGAUAGGACACUCCAAUCUUAUUCCAUGAAUUUAGUGUCCUGAUACAGAAACAUUACAUGAUUAGAGCUAUGGAAAAUUCACUUCUAGUGCAUUUUACACCUAUCUAUUCUGUUGGCAUGUCUUUUUUCAGUGUCGGUCACAGCCUGGGCAAAAGACUUGCAAUAUACAAUCUCUUUUCUGCCUCCUCUUAGCCAACUUCAUUCUGGCAUUGGAGCACUCCUGUGGUAUAAGUAGGCUUUGACCAUCACAGUCUAUAUAUUUUUAGCUAGUAAUUUUUUAGCACUUUUACUAAUUUCAUGUUAGUGUUGGGUUCAACUAUUCUCAUUUAUAAAUAUUGUCAUAUUUAAGCCCAGCUAUUAAUUUUUUAUGUAAAUAAAAAUGUAAACAUAUUUCUUCAAGUUUUGUUCUAUGCUUUUUCUGUAAUAUUAAAUAUCAUUCUGAUGUGAUAUUGUUCAUGUUUGUGUUCUGACUUAUGUACUUAAAAGCUUAGACAUUAUUGAAUGCCUGUAUAUCUAUGUAGCUAUGAACUAUAUACUCACUAUCUGGGAGUUCCUUUCAGAACUAUAUGACUUCCACUUAGGUACUAAAAUUAAUGUAAUACUAAUCAUCUUUAUAAAAGACUCUAAAAUAUCUCUAAACAAUUAAAAACAAAAGAACAAUAGCUUCUCUUUUUUGAAAUUUUCAUAGAAAUGUAUAGAGUUUUUUUUUCUUUUAUUGCUGGAGCAGAGAAGAGAAGAUCGUUAACUGAAGUGUUUGACUACAUUUGUGUGUGUGUGUUUCUGAGAACAAAUAAGAUCACAUGUGAUUUCCGUCUGUUUUAACUAAAGGCAUGUUUUAGAUCUCCUUAUUGCAUAUUUCCUUUGUCUUUCUAAGAAAUCAGCUCAAAUAAAUCAUGAAUGAGUAUAUGCAG